UACGGAGGAGGCUAGCGUUGUUUCGGAAUUAGCUAGGGGCGUAAAGCGCACGGUAGGCGGCUUUUUAAGUCAGGGGUGAAAUACCCGGGGCCUCGAACCCCGGAACUGCCCCGUUGAAACUGGGAAGAGCCGUAGAAUCUUGGAGAGGCGAGUGGAAGUACCGUAGUGUAGAGGUGAAAUUCGUAGAUAUUUGGAGGAACACCAGAGGCGAAAGCGGCUUUCUGGGCUGUAACUGACGCGAGGC
rnacentral:rRNA from 1 species